GAAGUCGUAACAAGGUAACCGUAAAGUUUGAUCCUGGCUCAGGAAGUCCUAACAAGGGAACCGUAGAGGUUUAUCCUGGGUCUAGAAUGCCCAAAAACGGGAGCCAAAAUUUUGAAACAGAUGCUAAUACCGCAUAACAACGUUGUUCGCAUGAACAACGCUUAAAAGAUGGCUUCUCGCUAUCACUUCUGGAUGGACCUGCGGUGCAUUAGCUUGUUGGUGGGGUAACGGCCUACCAAGGCGAUGAUGCAUAGCCGAGUUGAGAGACUGAUCGGCCACAAUGGGACUGAGACACGGCCCAUACUCCUACGGGAGGCAGCAGUAGGGAAUCUUCCACAAUGGGCGCAAGCCUGAUGGAGCAACACCGCGUGAGUGAAGAAGGGUUUCGGCUCGUAAAGCUCUGUUGUUAAAGAAGAACACGUAUGAGAGUAACUGUUCAUACGUUGACGGUAUUUAACCAGAAAGUCACGGCUAACUACGUGCCAGCAGCCGCGGUAAUACGUAGGUGGCAAGCGUUAUCCGGAUUUAUUGGGCGUAAAGAGAGUGCAGGCGGUUUUCUAAGUCUGAUGUGAAAGCCUUCGGCUUAACCGGAGAAGUGCAUCGGAAACUGGAUAACUUGAGUGCAGAAGAGGGUAGUGGAACUCCAUGUGUAGCGGUGGAAUGCGUAGAUAUAUGGAAGAACACCAGUGGCGAAGGCGGCUACCUGGUCUGCAACUGACGCUGAGACUCGAAAGCAUGGGUAGCGAACAGGAUUAGAUACCCUGGUAGUCCAUGCCGUAAACGAUGAGUGCUAGGUGUUGGAGGGUUUCCGCCCUUCAGUGCCGGAGCUAACGCAUUAAGCACUCCGCCUGGGGAGUACGACCGCAAGGUUGAAACUCAAAGGAAUUGACGGGGGCCCGCACAAGCGGUGGAGCAUGUGGUUUAAUUCGAAGCUACGCGAAGAACCUUACCAGGUCUUGACAUCUUGCGCCAACCCUAGAGAUAGGGCGUUUCCUUCGGGAACGCAAUGACAGGUGGUGCAUGGUCGUCGUCAGCUCGUGUCGUGAGAUGUUGGGUUAAGUCCCGCAACGAGCGCAACCCUUGUUACUAGUUGCCAGCAUUAAGUUGGGCACUCUAGUGAAACUGCCGGUGACAAACCGGAAGAAGGGGGGGACGACGUCAGAAUCAUCAUGCCCCUUAUAGAACUGGGCUACACACCGUUGCUACAAUGGACGGUACAACGAGGUCGCGAACUCGCGAGGGCAAGCAAAUCUCUUAAAACCGUUCUCAGUUCGGACUGCAGGCUGCAACUCGCCUGCACGAAGUCGGAAUCGCUAGUAAUCGCGGAUCAGCAUGCCGCGGUGAAUACGUUCCCGGGCCUUGUACACACCGCCCGUCACACCAUAACAGUUUAACCGUCCAGUUUGCUCUUGGCUCCGGAAGUCGUACCA
rnacentral:rRNA from 2 species